AACGAACGCUGGCGGCAGGCCUAACACAUGCAAGUCGAACGCCCCGCAAGGGGAGUGGCAGACGGGUGAGUAACACGUGGGAACGUACCCUUCGGUUCGGGAUAACUCAGGGAAACUUGAGCUAAUACCGGAUACGUCCGAGAGGAGAAAGAUUUAUCGCCGAGGGAUCGGCCCGCGUCUGAUUAGCUUGUUGGUGAGGUAACGGCUCACCAAGGCGACGAUCAGUAGCUGGUCUGAGAGGAUGAUCAGCCACAUUGGGACUGAGACACGGCCCAAACUCCUACGGGAGGCAGCAGUGGGGAAUAUUGGACAAUGGGCGCAAGCCUGAUCCAGCCAUGCCGCGUGAGUGAUGAAGGCCCUAGGGUUGUAAAGCUCUUUUACCCGGGAAGAUAAUGACUGUACCGGGAGAAUAAGCCCCGGCUAACUUCGUGCCAGCAGCCGCUGUAAG
rnacentral:rRNA from 1 species